UUACUUGUUCUCAAAUAAUUUCUGGUCAUAUUGGCGUGAAAAAGCCAGAAAACCAGUCGACAUAUAGCGGGUUGCAAUUGGCAAACAAAACAAUUUCUCUCUUAGUCUGAUAAGUUGCAGACAAUUUAGUCACUGUACUUAACAAAUGAAUGUCAACAUAAAAACUACAAACUGAAUGACUAGCAUUCAUACACGAAACAUACAGAUAUGGAAUGACCAGCAUUCACAAUUAUAGGUACUUAGGGUGCAAUACCGUCUUUCCCCAAACAACACAAAAUGACUAGCAUUCACAAUUAUAGGUACUUAGGGUGUAAUACCGUCUUUCCCCAAACAACACCAAAUGACUAGCAUUCACAAUUAUAGGUACUUAGGGUGCAAUACCGUCUUUCCCCAAACAACACAAAAUGACUAGCAUUCACAAUUAUAGGUACUUAGGGUGCAAUACCGUCUUUCCCCAAACAACACAUAAUGACCAGCAUUCACAAUUAUAGGUACUUAGGGUGCAAUACCGUCUUUCCCCAAACAACACAAAAUGACUAGCAUUCACAAUUAUAGGUACUUAGGGUGUAAUACCGUCUUUCCCCAAACAACACCAAAUGACUAGCAUUCACAAUUAUAGGUACUUAGGGUGCAAUACCGUCUUUCCCCAAACAACACAAAAUGACUAGCAUUCACAAUUAUAGGUACUUAGGGUGCAAUACCGUCUUUCCCCAAACAACACCAAAUGACUAGCAUUCACAAUUAUAGGUACUUAGGGUGCAAUACCGUCUUUCCCCAAACAACACCAAAUGACUAGCAUUCACAAUUAUAGGUACUUAGGGUGCAAUACCGUCUUUCCCCAAACAACAUCAAAUGACUAGCAUUCACAAUUAUAGGUACUUAGGGUGCAAUACCGUCUUUCCCCAAACAACACAUAAUGACUAGCAUUCACAAUUAUAGGUACUUAGGGUGCAAUACCGUCUUUCCCCAAACAACACAAAAUGACUAGCAUUCACAAUUAUAGGUACUUAGGGUGCAAUACCGUCUUUCCCCAAACAACACAGAAUGACUAGCAUUCACAAUUAUAGGUACUUAGGGUGCAAUACCGUCUUUCCCCAAACAACACAGAAUGACUAGCAUUCACAAUUAUAGGUACUUAGGGUGCAAUACCGUCUUUCCCCAAACAACACAGAAUGACUAGCAUUCACAAUUAUAGGUACUUAGGGUGCAAUACCGUCUUUCCCCAAACAACACCAAAUGACUAGCAUUCACAAUUAUAGGUACUUAGGGUGCAAUACCGUCUUUCCCCAAACAACACCAAAUGACUAGCAUUCACAAUUAUAGGUACUUAGGGUGCAAUACCGUCUUUCCCCAAACAACACAUAAUGACUAGCAUUCACAAUUAUAGGUACUUAGGGUGCAAUACCGUCUUUCCCCAAACAACACAUAAUGACUAGCAUUCACAA